rnacentral:lncRNA from 1 species
AUGACACUCUUAAACAGCAGCAGUUGCACGGCGGCGUUACCCCUCCCAUUAAAUGCUGUCAUUUUUGGAUUUUUUCCAAUUCUGCUCACUGGUCGGGACUUUGUGUUCUACACCACGCUUCUCUCUGUGUGUGAUUUGGAACGGGUCUCUGAGGUUUCGAUUCAAUUCUAUUAUUUAAUCCUUCAUAAUUUAUGAUUUUUUUUUUCAUUUAAUGCCUUUUUUCCUCAAAGGUCCGAUGCCACGUUGUCAAUAGCGAAUUAGCAGUGACCGGCGAUGCUAUGAUUAGACCAAAAUUGAUUCCAUGUUUUGCUUGUCGAUAGGAAUCUGUAGACUGAUUUUUAUUCCAUUCAUCUGCGGAGCCGUUUUCUGCGAUCACAUUUUUAGGAUUCAGAUUCAAUUUUUUUUCUUUUAAUCUACAAAUUGCCUUAAUUUAUGGAGGCCAAUGAGGAAUUUUUAUCAUUAUAUGGAAUUAUCGUCUAAACAUAAUUUGAUGUUAGAUCGACUAUCUGAGCCCCACCCCUCACCCCGGGGAGGAAUCAUGCUUGUUCAAACAACACCUAUUUGAUGCAUCAACGUUGUUAACCAUUUGUACAAAUAGUAUAAUUGAAAUUGGAGGCGAUUGUCACCCAAGUCCUAUUGGGCAAUCUCCCACCUUUUGGAGAGCUUGUUUGAGACUGGGGAAAGGGUCGAGACUUCCUUGAUUACUUAUUGGGGCGAACCAAUUAAGGGGCUCCUGAUAGAAAGAAAGUCGGAAUUUCCCUUUCAUAAAAGAAAUUGGCUUCUAAAAUUGACUUUAAAAAAUAUUAUCUAUUUUUUGAUAUCAACACAAUCUAUCAGCAAUAUCUUUUGGACGAGCUUUUUGCCUAAAGAGACAUCCAACAAAGAACCUAUCAACAGUGGCACAUUGACGAGGAGCACUUUAUUGGAAGUUUUAACAUUUUAACCAUAAAUGGGGACUUCAACCAUCUUACACAUCCCUGGGAUGAGGCUUACGAGCUGCUUUCAUUAAUGGUGCUGUUGACACGUUAAAAGUGUAGCC